AAAAAAAAAAAUUUUACUCAAGAACCAUCUACUUUAUUUCAUACAAUUCAGCCAGUUUAGUGUAAUUCCUGCUACAUUUCAUGUGAGAAACGUUUGAAAAAUCAGUUCCAAUAAUCAGUAAGGUGCGCAUUUUGAACUUUUCCUGCAGGGUGAAAAAGUGAGAGUAAGUCAUCCACAUCCUGCCUUUAUACUCUUUUCCCCUUUAAGCCAGCUUUAUAUUUACAUAUGGUAAUAGUUUCCAUUUUUGACUGAGAAUAAGUGUUUCCAGUAAAAAAUUACCAGCCUCUACAAAGCCUUUACAAAUUACAAGCAAAAUUACCAACAGCUUGGUUAACUGAACCAAAUUAACAAAAUAUCUUAGCAACACAAACAUAAUUAGAAAAUAACAAAUAACAAAUGAAGCAAAUUUGUAAUAGGUGAAACAUAUAAAAAUGUUAUGUAAUCUCAUUCUAAUAUAAAUGGCAAUUAUUGUCUAGUAAGUACAUGAGCUCAUGUAUUUUUUAUGGGAUAUUAAUUGAUUUUUAAAAUAUUCUAAUUUAUUCAUAAUGGAGAAAAGGAAGAGCAGUGGCCAUUUUAGCUCUAGUUACACUUACUCAGAUAGAAUAGAUUCAGUACUUUCCCCUCCACACAGAAAUUCUUAGAUUAAAUUGGCAUUUCCCAUGUUUUCAAGAAAUAUGAUUUUAAUAAAAUGACCUUGGUUCCAACCUAUUUUGAUUAAAUGGAAUUUUACUUAGUGUUGGUGUGGCAUAUUAACAGUGAGAAAACAAAAAGUAAAGCUAAAUGUUUAGAAAAUUUAAGAGCAGAGAAAAUUAGCCUGUGGUUUUAAUCAUAAUAUAGUAAAAGAGACAGUCCUCUUCUCUCCCUUAACCCCCGAACAGUAUUUUCACCUAUUUGUUGAUCCUUAGUCACAGGAUUAAGAGAGAUCUAUCCAUUAGAGUUGUACCCCAGGCUGUUUUUAUUGGGUAAUAAAAAGUUGAUCUCAGGUAGUCAGAGAAACCAUGUCUCAUUUGUAUCAGACAAGAGCAUGUUCAGAAGCCAUUCUGAGGAUUUAAUGAAGAUGUCUAGAAAAGGGAUGAAAUCCACAUAUUGAUCUGUCACGUUAACAUACUUCAGUUCUGUCUACCAUUUUUCUGCACUGUAGGGGCAGCCUCUUCAGUGGUGUGUUACUGCAAUUCUGAAAAUAAUUUGUAAGUUAGGUCAGUCCUCAGUGCUUUUGACAUCUGGGAUUGAUAAGGUUGAUAAAGUGUCCUGGGCACAUUCUCAACAAAGAGGUCAUUCUGACUCUUGCAGAAAGAUCUUUAAUAGUUUUUCUAAUAUUAAUCAAUCAUAAACAUGCUAAAUGUUUUUUUCUAGAGUCAGAUGUUUUCCCUCUUGAUAGUUAACGUUAAUUGUACAACAAACAUGUUGAAUAGUUUUGGAUAAGCUUAUCGAAAAUUUGUAUCAUUUUCUCUUUUUUGAUAACUAAUUUGGAGAAGACUCUUUUUGAGUCUACAUGAUAUAUUUUAUGUAUUCUACAUGAUAUUCACUAGAAAUUUACUUAGGGUUCUGUGGAUUCUUUCACUUUGGCCUGUGAAGACUUCUGACUACCGGAGAGCAAGAUGGUUUCAGCAUCCACCCUUCUCACAAUGGAGUUCCUUACAUAUGAUCUCCAGAGUCAGCAAAUGACUGACCUUAAACCUGAAAGACCCAUUGGCUUCCGCCUUUACUCUUGCAGAAUGAGUUAUGAAGCCAAAGACCGCAAGAAGAGCACACUUCUUAACAGCCACUUGAGAGGUGACAGCCAGGGAGUCUUCCAGAGGAUGGAGUCACCACAAAUAAUGAUGGAAAAGAGAGUAGAUUUAGAGGCUACUUAAGGAAUUUCCCCAUUCCCAGUGUAGGAAGCUUCUCAAUAGUUGCUAAUCAGGAUUUCCUUAUGGUUAUACUCUAGGGACUGCUGCUUGCCAGCCUGUCUUCUCUUUUUUGAAUAGAAGGUGUCUUCGUUUGAUUUUAUUUUUUCUUCAACUUCGCUGUUCUACAAUGACAAGAGGUAGAACAGAAACAUUUUCUACCUCAACAUGGGAGGCAGAAAAUUCGCCUUUUUAUCCAAGAAUACCAAACCAGAAGCUGAACUAUCUGGAUCUGAUAGAAAGGAUAGUCUAUUCCCCCUUGGACUUUGGACUGGAUGCAAUAAUGGUAUGAGACCCUGGGGUAGGAAUGAGUGUCUUCUAUGUGUGGGAAAGACAGGAAAGCAGAUAUUUGGCACCCUAAAAAGAAGGCCAUGGCAGAACCUCAUUAGUUGUUCAACAAUCCUAUUUUCCUUUUCUCUUGGCCACACAGCUAUGCAUUUUCCAGCCAUCCUUGUAGUUAGAUGCCCAGUCACAGUUCUGAGAAUGGUAUAUGGACAGAUGUGAUGGACACUUCUGGGCCUGGACCAUAAAAACCUUCCACAUGAUGUCCAGUGCCUCUUUUACCCCAUUGACAGUUGGAUAUUGUCAUUCAGAGAGACCUCAGAUGGUUUAGAAACCAUGUGCAGAAGAUGGCAACCUUCCCUCAGCAUGGAUCCUUAUAUGACCGUGGAGUGCAAUGCCUUCUACCAAUUACACCUACUGUGUUUGAGAAUCAAAUUUCAUUUGCAUUAAGCUACUGAUUUGAGGGGGGAGGUUUAAUCUCCUUCAGCACCCACAUUAGUACAACUCAUGCAGAAUGGAGAGUUAAUGUGAACACAUAUGGCACAGACUGGUGAAACCCAGGGCUUUAAGAUUAUGGAUGAAUUUCUGAUUAUACUUUCCUUUCCUUCAAAAAGUUUUUUUCAAAUUAAAUGUUGUAAUAUAAA